AAAGGAGGGCAAUAAGAAGUUCUCACAAAGACAGCAACUCGCUCUACCUUCGUCGUAGUUGUAGCCACGGACGUUUCUGUGCCGGGCCAUGGCGGGCGAGUUGAGGAAGAUGUGAGGAAAGUACCCAGGAAUUAAAAGAGAAACUCUUCAUGAAGUGAUGUACCUACAUAUCUACAACUAUUUGGGAGUACUAACAAAGCUACCUAAGGAUCCUGGGGAGCUAGGAGCUAUCACAGGCCUUGAUGCCAUUCUUCCUUUAUUCCAGCUCACUGUCCAGAUAUGACUCAGAAGAGGAGUAAGAUUCAAAAAUGCAAAAUCCAAGUUCUACUAACUGUGGCUUGUGCAGCCAUUUUUGUAAAGGACAGCACUUUGUUCAUUUCUAGACCUCAUCAUGACUUAUUCUCAUCAACUGUUUUAGAAGCAUACCCAUAAGAACACAGAGCACAACCUUAGAAUGACAUUUAAGAAGAUCCUAAAAUUAUUGCAUUAUCCACAAGAGUGAUUUGUGUCUAUUAACUUGCAUUACUAUGCAAGUGGGAAGUUGCAGGACAUUUUAUGUGAAGGAUUUUUUUCUGCACAACAAGGAUUACUGGCCACAAGGGCUGCUCUUGGACAAGUUACAGAAAUUUCUAACAUAGCUGAGGAUUUUGAUUCUUAUUUAGAAAGAUUUGAGAGAUGCAAAUCACAUUUGUUUAUGUAUGUAAUGUAAUAGCAUCUCCUCAGUAUAAGAGACUGGAUUGAGAGCAUCACAUACCUCCAGAGCAUAGGAAGCCUCAUUAACAGUAAAAUAAAAUGUAUUGCUAUGGGGUACACAUUUACAGCACACUUGCCACUUUAAAUUAGUGACUUGUCACCAUUGUGGGAGACAGGGCCACAUUAUACAAUGUCACACCUUCCAAGGGUACAACGUGUUUCCACGGUAUUUCUUUCCUUGCUUUUUCAAAGACCCAGGAGCCAAAUCUAUAUUCUGUGAGUAUUACAAGUGUUAGAAGUGAUGGUAGAUGCAUUAAAUAAAUGCUUUUAUUUUGUUGAA